AAUGGUGAUAAAACAGAUAAUGUUCUUAUUCUUUUCGGAAAUUCACAAUGAACUAAACUGGUAUCUUGAAUGAGAAAGCAUUCAAAAUAUUUUUCUGCUGUGCAAGAUCACCGAGUGACUUCAAGUUAUUCAUCCUGAAUGAUUUAAUACAUUUUAUAAUGUUUUGGCUUACGAGAUCGCUAUUAAAGUUAUGAGUCAACUAGGA